rnacentral:rRNA from 1 species
GAUGAACGCUGGCGGCGUGCCUAAUACAUGCAAGUCGAGCGAACAGACGAGAAGCUUGCUCCUCUGACGUUAGCGGCGGACGGGUGAGUAACACGUGGAUAACCUACCUAUAAGACUGGGAUAACUUCGGGAAACCGGAGCUAAUACCGGAUAAUAUAUUGAACCGCAUGGUUCAAUAGUGAAAGACGGUCUUGCUGUCACUUAUAGAUGGAUCCGCGCUGCAUUAGCUAGUUGGUAAGGUAACGGCUUACCAAGGCGACGAUGCGUAGCCGACCUGAGAGGGUGAUCGGCCACACUGGAACUGAGACACGGUCCAGACUCCUACGGGAGGCAGCAGUAGGGAAUCUUCCGCAAUGGGCGAAAGCCUGACGGAGCAACGCCGCGUGAGUGAUGAAGGUCUUCGGAUCGUAAAACUCUGUUAUUAGGGAAGAACAAAUGUGUAAGUAACUGUGCACGUCUUGACGGUACCUAAUCAGAAAGCCACGGCUAACUACGUG